rnacentral:rRNA from 2 species
ACGUAGGGAGCGAGCGUUGUCCGGAAUUACUGGGUGUAAAGGGAGCGUAGGCGGGAUGGCAAGUCAGAUGUGAAAACUAUGGGCUCAACCCAUAGACUGCAUUUGAAACUGUUGUUCUUGAGUGAGGUAGAGGUAAGCGGAAUUCCUGGUGUAGCGGUGAAAUGCGUAGAGAUCAGGAGGAACAUCGGUGGCGAAGGCGGCUUACUGGGCCUUUACUGACGCUGAGGCUCGAAAGCGUGGGGAGCAAACAG